GCAAGUCGAACGGAAACGAUGGUAGCUUGCUACCCGCUGACGAGCGGCGGACGGGUGAGUAAUGCUUGGGGAGCUGCCCUAAUGAGGGGGAUAACAGUUGGAAACGACUGCUAAUACCGCAUAACCUCCGCUCUUUUCGGAGAGGGGAGUAAAGCGGGGGACCUUCGGGCCUCGCGCGUUAGGAUGCGCCCAAGUGGGAUUAGCUAGUUGGUGGGGUAAUGGCUCACCAAGGCGACGAUCCCUAGCUGGUCUGAGAGGAUGAUC
rnacentral:rRNA from 1 species